UACGGAGGAUGCAAGCGUUAUCCGGAAUGAUUGGGCGUAAAGGGUGCGUAGGCGGCUUUGUAAGUCAGUGGUGAAAUAUGGCAGCUCAACUGUCAAGGUGCCAUUGAUACUGCAGAGCUUGAGUACAGAUGAGGUAGGCGGAAUUGACGGUGUAGCGGUGAAAUGCUUAGAUAUCGUCAAGAACACCUAUAGCGAAGGCAGCUUACUAGGCUGUAACUGACGCUGAGGCACGAAAGUGUGGGGAUCAAACAGG
rnacentral:rRNA from 1 species